rnacentral:rRNA from 1 species
AAGGCUUCAGUACGACCCAGUCAGAACUAUAAGUCUCAAAGCCCCGACGAGUAGGGUGGCGUGCCGGUGCGCGUUGAAGGCCAAGACGUGAGUCAGGCUGGAGCCGCCGGUAGUGCAGAUCUUGGUGGUAGUAGCAAGUACUCUGGUGAACCAACCUGGAGCUGUGAGGUCUGGAUCAGGGUUCCAUGUCAACAGUGAUUGAACAUGGGUGAGUCGAUCCUAAGCCAACUGUGAAAGCAGUGACAUCCCGACAAUGGAGCAGUACGUGCGCCGCACUUACACCCCCAAACCAAAGCUCUCGAGUAUCUCGUCUGGUUACGCUCAUAAGCGUUGAGAGUGGGUGAGCGUGAGAUUGCACUCGCAUGGCUCCUGCGUCUGGUUCUAUGUCUGGCGAAAGGGAAUGGGGACUUUGUUCCUUGACCGGUCCCGGCACCCUCGAUUGGCUCUGCCAAUUAAUGGUCCAUGCAAAUGGAACCAGGCCCACAGCCGCCGGCAGUCGCCCGAGGAAGAGUUUUCUUUUCUGCUUAACGCACGAGGUCAUCCCUGGAAACAGUUCGGCUGGCGAAAGGGUGCCCCGUUGCGGCAGAGCGCCACGACUGUCGUGCGCGUCUCGGUGUUCCUGCCGGUCCGUGAAGACGUGGUCGAGGGGAUUGCUAUCUUGUAUCAACGAAACGCCCGACAAGUUCGGGACGGACCGUACCCUAUAUCCGCAUCUGGUCUCCAAGGUUCGUAGCCUCUGCAGAGUCAGACACAUGUAGGUAAGGGAAGUCGGCAAACUCGAUCCGUAACUUCGGGAAAAGGAUUGGCUCUGAGGGCCGAGCUGGGCCGGGCCUUGCCUGCAAAGCAGUACCUAUAGUGACCGGAGUUUCAGGAGUGCGAGGGGCUCUAGUAGCUGCUUGCGCGUGUGUGUGCGUUCGCGCGCGUGCGCGCGUGUGGGCACGAACGAGUCCACCGCUCCGCUCCAACCACGAACGGCUGUGACGGCAAGGGCUCUGGGCGGGAGCGAUCAAUCCGUUGGCCUCCAGCUCGUCUGGCUGGCGGCGGUGCUCCGUCUGACCCAUACGGCUCCAGCGGCUAGCGGCUAACUCAGAACUGUCAUGGACCAAGGGAAUCCGACUGUCUAAUUAAAACAAAGCGUCGUGACGGCCCCUGUUGGGUGUUGACGCGACGUGAUUUC